AUGCAUCCCAAACCAUUUUGCCAGAAAGGCAAGCACCAUCGAAACCUUACCGACAGAUGGCCACCCGGCCUUGCGGGCCAUGGCUGCGCGGGCUCCGUCCCGUCAUUCGUUCCUUCCCUGACAGGCCAUGAAGAGGAGAAAGAGAAGGAAGAUGUCUCCCUCCAGGCCGGCCUGAGGGAGAGGACCAGCCCUGAGUCUCGGCUUAUACUGGAGUCAAUGUUUUCCCAGUUUUUUUUGGUGGUAAAAUUAGGUGCCUCAGCUUAUAUUCAGGUCAGCUUAUACUCGAGUAUAUACGGUAUCUCGUUUGCUGUGUCAUAUUCUGUCUUUGUGCCAAUAAUAAAUAAUAAUACUUUGAUUUGUGAUUUUGUGAUACGAAAAUCUCGUUUGCUGUGUCAUACUCCGUCUUUGUGUCAAUAAUAAUAAUAAUAAUAAUAAUAAUAAUAAUAAUAAUAAUAUCAUAGGCCCUUGGGAAGAGCCCGAUAUUCGGAGACAAAUCCCAAACACUUGGACCUAACGUGCAUGUGUGUUGUGUUAUGUACAUGUAAAUAAUAACAACAAUAACAACAGGUGGUCUCCUUAACUGGCUAAGAGAACCAAGGAUGCCAUAGUAGUUUUGUUACUUGGUAGGUUUAAUAUGUUUAUGUUUUAUUUGAUUAUUUAAAUGUUGUGAGUAGUUGUCAUAAUUUGUUAUAGGUGUUUUAUUCAAGGGGUGGUUUGUUCAUUUUGUAUUGUUAUGGCCUAGUCAGUGGGUUAAAUCUUUGUGCCAGCAGGACUGCUGACUUGAAGGUUGGGUUGCUGACCUGAAGGUUGCUGGUUUGAAUCCAACCCGGGGAGAGCGCGGAUGAGCUCCCUCUGUCAGCUCCAACUCCCCAUGCGGGGACAUGAGAAAAGCCUCCCACAAGGAUGGUAAAAACAUCAAAACAUCCGGGUAACAUCGCCUGGGCAAUGUCCUUGUAGACGGCCAAUUCUCUCACACCAGAAGUGACUUGCAGUUUCUCAAGUCGCUCCUGACACGAUUUUUUUUUAAUGUUUGCCAUCCUUUGUUGGAAACUGCCCUGACUGUCCCCUUAGUGAGAUAGAGUGGUCUACAAAGAAAUAAUAAUAAUAAUAAUAAUAAUAAUAAUAAUAAUAAUAAUUCUUUAGCUGCCUCAUUUGGCCAGGUCACAAUAUAUUGCCUUGGACCCCAAUGCCUUUAUAUACAAAACAUGAAGCACAAAAUGCAAUCUUGCCUUUGGUUAGGGCAGUGGUUCCCAACUUUCUCAAUGCCGCAACCCCUUAAUACAGUUCCUCAUGUUAUGGUGACCCCCAACCAUAAAAUCAUUUUUGUCGCUACUUCAUAACUCUCAUUUUACUACUGUUAUGAAUCGUAAUGUAAGUAUCUGAUAUGCAGGAUAUAUCACUGGACCAGAUUUGGCACAAAUACCCGAUAUGCCCAAAUUUAAAUACUGGUGGAGUUUGGGGGAAAUAGACCUUGACAUUUGGGAGUUGUAGUUGCUGGGAUUUAUAGUUCACCUGCCAUCAAAGAGCAAUCUGAACUCCACCAACGAUGGAAUUGUACCAAACUUGGCAUACAGUACUUUCAUGUCCAACAGAAAAUACUAGAACGGUUUGGUAGGCAUUGAUCUUGAGCAGGGGUCCCCAAACUAAGGCCCGGGGGCUCGGGCUGUGGCGCAGGCUGGAGAGCAGAUGCAAUGAAUCACUGCAAUGAAUCACUCAGGUCAUGAGUUCGAGGCCCGCUCGGAGCCUAUGUUUGUCUUGUCUUCGUUCUAUGUUAAAAGGCAUUAAAUGUUUGCCUAUAUGUGUAAUGUGAUCCGCCCUGAGUCCCCUUCGGGGUGAGAAAGAAGGGCGGAAUAUAAAUGCUGUAAAUAAAUAAAUAAAUAAAUAAAUAAUCGAAGACAUUUAUCCGGCCCCCACGGCGAAGGGGGUUGGGAUAAAUGACCCAAGGGGUCUCUUCUUCUCUUACAACCCUUAUUAUUAUGAUUAUGAUUAUGAUUAUUAUUAGCAUUGAGGCUGGGUGGCCAUCUGUCAGGGGUGCUUUGCUUGCGCUUUUGAUGCACAAAGGCAGAAGGGGAUUGGACUAAAUGGCCCAAAGGGUCUCUUCCAACCCUCUUUAUUAUUAUUAUUAUUAUUAUUAUUAUUAUUAUUAUUAUUAUUAUAUUAGUAUUAACAUUGAGGCUGGGUGGCCAUCUGUCAGGGGUGCUUUGCUUGUGCUUUUGGUGCACAAAGGCAGGAGGUUGGACUCAAUGGGCCAAAGGGUCUCUUCCAACCAUCUUUUUUAUUGUUGUUGUUGUUGUUGUUAUUAAUUAUUAUUGCUCGGUGGCCAACUAUAGUCCGGCCCUCCAACGGUCUGAAGGAUCGUGAACUGGCCCCCUGUUUAAAGUUUGGGGACCCCUGAUCUUGAGUUUUGGAGUUGUAGUUCACCAACAUCCAGAGAGCACUGUGGACUCCAAACAAUGAUGGGUCUGGACCAGACUUGGCACAAAUACUCAACAUGCCAUCGUUGUCGAGAGUUCCAACUAUUUAUUCGUCUUUUCUUUUUUAAUAAUGAAAAAUAACCUCUCAAAACACAGAACAUAAACCUUUUGUGGAGGAAACGGGGCAAAGGAGAACGACAACAACAAAAAACCCCACCAUUUUCUCAUCAAAAGAGUUAACUUUCCCACCCCGCAGUUGCAAAGUACGAAAGGGGGAAAAGAAAAUACUAUUUUGCCCUCCUCCACAACCCAAGAAUGAAUGCAAUUAAUCCCCCCCGACCCUAAAAUUCAAGCCUCGCAGGACACAGUGUAUUUUAUGCAGAUCAAGAGUCAUUCCUGAAGGCGGUUGCUUGUACAUUCAAGGAGCAAGUCCUCAUGGAGUUGGUACAGUAUAAGGAAAAUCGCUAUCUUUGAAGUAUCCGAUAUCUUUGAUGCACGAAAAGUUGCAAGGCCGAUGGAUGCGAGAAUAUAAAAGAGACGCAUUUGAAACCAAAGUUUAGUCUGGUUGUUUCGAUUCCGGUGUCUCCCAGAAAAAGGUGGGUUUACUCCCCCGUUUUUUUUGAAGCAAUGUGUCAUAAACUGCAUUAAGGUACCAAGAAGUGAAGACACCGUCGAGUGACGCUUAGGACAUGCCUUCGCCUGGUUCAGAUAAAGGCUUUGCAGCAAAUCCGUGUUCUAGCACCGUUCCCUAGAAGCACUUUUUUUAUCCGAUGAUAGAGAGCACCACAUGAGUUAGACAGAUAUGUUUUGCUAGUUCCAUCCAAAAAUAAUAAUAACAACAAUUAGAGGCAGCUUGGAAGAUUUUGAUCACCCACGUUUGGCCUCCAAAAAGAGGUGUAAACAUGGCGUGGAGAGCAAAGCAUCUCUCCCAAACGCCUCAAAAAAGAUACAGGAGCACCCAGGGAUUUGAAAGCAAGGACCACAAAUCAAGGAAAAGGUGUGAGAUGUGUGUGGUGGAGGUUGUUGCAGAGGAAAUACAUUUGUGCAGACGAGGGAGAAUUGGUUACGACGGAAAUAAAAAAGAUGGAUAGAGAGUGAUGGAUGAAUUGAUGGAUGGAUCGAGUUCAGAGAGAUAGUGAAGAUAAAUAAAUCAAAUAGGUAGGUCAGACUGAUGAGAGUAGAUAGUGCAGAUCAGUGGUUCCCAACCUUUGGGCCUCCAGGUGUUUUGGACUUCAACUCCCAGCCAGCUUACCAGCUGUUAGGAAUUGUGGGAGCUGAAGUCCAAAACACCUGGAGGCCCAAAGGUUGGGAACCACUGAGAUAGAUAUGUUCAGAUAGAUAGAUCAGAUAGACAGGCAGAUAGUUCAGACAGACAGAUAGAUCAGAGUAGAUAGUUCAGAUAGAUCAGAUAGACAAGCUAGUUCAGAUGGAUGGAUGGAGAUCAAAUAGAUAGAUAGAUAGAUAAGAUAGAUCAGACUAGAUAGUUCAGAUAGAUAAAUAAGUUCAGAUAGAUAGUUCAGAUAGGUAGAUAGAUCAGAUAGACAAACAUAGUUCAGAUGGAUGGAUGGAGAUCAAAUAGAUAGAUAGAUAGAUAGAUAGAUAGAUAGAUAGAUAGAUAAGAUAGAUCAGAGUAGAUAGUUCAGAUAGCCAAGAUAGUUCAGAUGGAUGGAUGGAGAUCAAAUAGAUAGUUAAAAUAGAUAGAUAGAUAGAUCAGAGUAGAUAGUUCAGAUAGGUAGAUAGAUCAGAUAGACAAACAUAGUUCAGAUGGAUGGAUGGAGAUCAAA
rnacentral:lncRNA from 1 species